GAUGAACGCUGGCGGCGUGCCUAAUACAUGCCAGUCGAGCGAACAGAUGAGGAGCUUGCUCCUCUGACGUUAGCGGCGGACGGGUGAGUAACACGUGGAUAACCUACCUAUAAGACUGGGAUAACUUCGGGAAACCGGAGCUAAUACCGGAUAAUAUAUUGAACCGCAUGAUUCAAUAGUGAAAGACGGUUUUGCUGUCACUUAUAGAUGGAUCCGCGCCGCAUUAGCUAGUUGGUAAGGUAACGGCUUACCAAGGCAACGAUGCGUAGCCGACCUGAGAGGGUGAUCGGCCACACUGGAACUGAGACACGGUCCAGACUCCUACGGGAGGCAGCAGUAGGGAAUCUUCCGCAAUGGGCGAAAGCUUGACGGAGCAACGCCGCGUGAGUGAUGAAGGUCUUCGGAUCGUAAAACUCUGUUAUUAGGGAAGAACAAAUGUGUAAGUAACUAUGCACGUCUUGACGGUACCUAAUCAGAAAGCCACGGCUAACUACGUG
rnacentral:rRNA from 1 species